rnacentral:rRNA from 1 species
CGAGCGCUGGCGGCGUGCCUAACACAUGCAAGUCGAACGAGAAAAGAGAGCUUGCUCUCUGAGUAGAGUGGCGCACGGGUCAGUAACAUGUGGGUAACCUGCCCUUGGGCGGAGAAUAACCCGUCGAAAGAUGGGCUAAUACUCCAUAAGACCACGGAAUCUUCGGAUUCUGAGGCCAAAGGGGGCUUCGGCUCUUACCUGAGGAUGGGCCCGCACACCAUUAGCUUGUUGGUGGGGUAACGGCCUACCAAUGCUGAGAUGGUUAGCUGGUCUGAGAGGACGACCAGCGACACUGGAACUGAGACACGGUCCAGACUCCUACGGGAGGCAGCAGUGGGGAAUCUUGGACAAUGGGCGAAAGCCUGAUCCAGCGACGCCGCGUGAGUGAUGAAGGCCUUCGGGUUGUAAAGCUCUGUCAGGGGGAACGAAUAAGGGUGACCUAAUACGUCAUCUGAUGACGGUACCUCCAAAGGAAGCACCGGCUAACUCU